rnacentral:rRNA from 1 species
UACGUAGGUGGCAAGCGUUGUCCGGAUUUAUUGGGUUUAAAGAGUGCGUAGGCGGUCUUAUAAGUCAGUGGUGAAAUACGGCAGCUCAACUGUCGAGGUGCCAUUGAUACUGUAGGACUUGAGUACAGACGAGGUAGGCGGAAUUGACGGUGUAGCGGUGAAAUGCUUAGAUAUCGUCAAGAACACCGAUAGCGAAGGCAGCUUACUAGGCUGUAACUGACGCUGAGGCACGAAAGUGUGGGGAUCAAACAGG